rnacentral:rRNA from 1 species
UACGUAGGGUGCGAGCGUUAAUCGGAAUUACUGGGCGUAAAGCGUGCGCAGGCGGUUAUAUAAGACAGAUGUGAAAUCCCCGGGCUCAACCUGGGAACUGCAUUUGUGACUGCAAGGCUAGAGUACGGCAGAGGGGGAUGGAAUUCCGCGUGUAGCAGUGAAAUGCGUAGAUAUGCGGAGGAACACCAAUGGCGAAGGCAAUCCCCUGGGCCUGCACUGACGCUCAUGCACGAAAGCGUGGGGAGCAAACAGG